AUUGAACGCUGGCGGCAGGCCUAACACAUGCAAGUCGAGCGGAUGACGGGAGCUUGCUCCUUGAUUCAGCGGCGGACGGGUGAGUAAUGCCUAGGAAUCUGCCUGGUAGUGGGGGACAACGUUUCGAAAGGAACGCUAAUACCGCAUACGUCCUACGGGAGAAAGCAGGGGACCUUCGGGCCUUGCGCUAUCAGAUGAGCCUAGGUCGGAUUAGCUUGUUGGUGAGGUAAUGGCUCACCAAGGCGACGAUCCGUAACUGGUCUGAGAGGAUGAUCAGUCACACUGGAACUGAGACACGGUCCAGACUCCUACGGGAGGCAGCAGUGGGGAAGAUUGGACAAUGGGCGAAAGCCUGAUCCAGCCAUGCCGCGUGUGUGAAGAAGGUCUUCGGAUUGUAAAGCACUUUAAGUUGGGAGGAAGGGUUGUAGAUUAAUACUCUGCAAUUUUGACGUUACCGACAGAAUAAGCACCGGCUAACUCUGUGCCAGCAGCCGCCGCGG
rnacentral:rRNA from 1 species